rnacentral:rRNA from 1 species
AUUCCAGCUCCAAUAGCGUAUAUUAAAGUUGCUGCAGUUAAAAAGCUCGUAGUUGGAUUUGUGGCGCGGCCGUCCGGCGGGGCUCCUUCAUUGGGGCCGUUUGUCUGGUUUUUCGGCCGCACCAUUCUCGGGUAGUGUGUCGCUGGCAUUAGGUUGUCGGCUUCUUCACGCCCGUCAUUUACUGUGAAAAAAUUAGAGUGUUCAAAGCAGGCUUAGGCCAUUGGAUACAUUAGCAUGGAAUAAUGAGAUAGGGCCACGACGGUCUAUUUUGUUGGUUUGCACGUUGUGGUAAUGAUUAACAGGAACGGUUGGGGGUAUUCGUAUUCAAUUGUCAGAGGUGAAAUUCUUGGAUUUAUGGAAGACGAACUACUGCGAAAGCAUUUACCAAGGAUGUUUUCAUUG